UACGUAGGGUGCAAGCGUUAAUCGGAGUUACUGGGCGUAAAGAGUACGUAGGCGGUUUGCUAAGUCUGGUGUGAAAUCUCCUGGCUUAACUGGGAGGGUGCGCUAGAUACUGGCAGGCUUGAGUAUGGGAGAGGAGAGUGGAAUUCCUGGUGUAGCGGUGAAAUGCGUAGAUAUCAGGAGGAACGCCGGUGGUGUAGACGGCUCUCUGGACCAUUACUGACGCUGAGGUACGAAAGCGUGGGUAGCAAACAGGAUUAGAUACCCCAGUAGU
rnacentral:rRNA from 1 species